rnacentral:lncRNA from 1 species
CAGGGCUCAUCCGUGCCGUUCGCGUCGCUCGGCCGAUCGAUCCUGAGCAUCCGCCGCGACCAGGUGCACGCGAUGGACGGGCACCACGACUCGGCGCAGGAGCACGAGCUCGAGGCGUUCCAGCGGCGCGUGGCGGACCUGUUCCACGACCUGGCCGGGGGAGGGGGAGGGGGAGGGGACGAGCUCAUGAGCCUGGCGUGGCUGCGGAAGCUUCUGGACACGUUCCUGGUGUGCCAGGAGGAGUUCCGGGUGAUCCUCUUCAACCACCGCGGCGCUGCGUCGCGGGCGCCGCUGGACCGCAUGAUCGCGGAGUUCUUCGACCGGGGCGUGAAGGCGCUCGACGUGUGCAACGCCGUGCGCGACGGGAUCGAGCAGGUGCGCCAGUGGCAGAAGCACCUCGAGAUCGUCCUCCGCGCCCUCGCCCCAGCCCCAGCCCCAGCGCUCGGGGAGGGCCAGCUGCGGCGGGCCAAGAAAGCCCUCACCGACCUCGCCAUCCUCAUGCUCGACGAGAAGGACGCCGCCUCCGCGCUCUCCCACCGCAACCGCUCCUUCGGCCGCAGCGGCCGCGACGCCCACCGCUCCUCCCCCAGCGCCAGCGCCGGCGCCGGCGCCGGCCACUUCCGCUCCCUCUCGUGGAGCGUGUCCCGCUCGUGGUCCGCCG